rnacentral:tRNA from 1 species
GCGCUAAUAGCUCAGUUGGGAGAGCGUCAGACUGAAGUCAAUUCGGUCCCAUCCAUAUCCGGGGUAAUCUGAAGGUCACCCGUUCAAUCCGGGUUUGGCGCA